rnacentral:rRNA from 1 species
CCCUUAGAUGUUCUGGGCCGCACGCGCGCUACACUGACGAUGGCAACGAGUUUUUCCUUCGCCGAAAGGUGUGGGUAAUCUUUUGAAACAUCGUCGUGCUGGGGAUAGAUCAUUGCAAUUUUUGAUCUUGAACGAGGAAUUCCUAGUAAGCGCGAGUCAUCAGCUCGCGUUGAUUACGUCCCUGCCCUUUGUACACACCGCCCGUCGCUACUACCGAUUGAAUGGUUUAGUGAGGACUCCUGAUUGGCGCCGCCGCCCCGGCGACGGAGCAGCGGACUGCCGAAAAGUUGUUCAAACUUGAUCAUUUAGAGGAAGUAAAAGUCGUAACA